CUCACAGAGGCCCCUCCCACACCGCUGCUCCUCCCCCUCCUGCGUGUCUCCCCUCGUCUCCGGACCCCCCGGCGGACAGAGCGUCCCCAACCUCACCCCUUCACCCCCAACCUCACCCCCACGUCUUGAACCAACCCCAGGAGCCACACAGAGGGAACGUUUCUUUGGGGAGGAGCCAGUUAGAGGGAACGGUUCUUUAGGGAGGAGCCAGUUAGAGGGAGCGGUUCUUUAAAGGAGGAGCCACACGGAGAGAGCUAUUCAUUAGGGAGGAGCCAGUCAGAGGGAGCGGAGCAGUUCUUUGGGGGAGGAGCCACACAGAGGGAGCGAUUCUUUAGGGGAGGAGCCAGUCAGAGGGAGCGGUACUUUGGGGGAGGAGCCAGUCAGAGGGAGCGGUUCUUUAGGGGAGGAGCCACACAGAGGGAGCGGCAGUGCUCAGACUGGAGCUCCAGAGGGAGCGGUGAGUCCAGCUGGGUCUUGUGUUCCCCCGGCGGCCUCCAGACCUGGCCUCCGUCCUCCUGGGGAGUCCAGUGUGUCUCCGGCCCGCCAGCGCUCUGCAGUCUCCGCAAUGCGUCCGGACGACGUGACAACGAACGAUCCUGUCCUGGAGGGCCUUGGCUCCCCAGGCCUCCCUGUCUCUCCAGGCCCCCCUGUCUCUCCAGGCCCCCCUGUCUCUCCAGGCCCCCCUGUCUCUCCAGGCUCCCCUGUCAGACAUGUGGUCCCGGGGAGGACGGACCCCAUGGCUGGGGGCCCAGAGUGCGGCUCUCUGGGGCCUCACAGCAGCAGUGGCGGGGGUGUGGAGCAGAGCGGCGAGAGGCCCCGUGACACGGUUCAGGAUACGGCCGGGGUCCGGCCCGGGGACGCGUUCCGGACCAGGUCGGGGCGUUACCCUCCGUUUGGUGGCGCCGAGAUAACGCAGAUGAAGGCGGGAUCGUUACCUCUCAUGGUGGAGACGGACAUCGAUGCAGCCGAGAUGUCCUUCCCAGGGUCUGGAGGGCUUCCUCAGGGCACGGGAACAGCUGCCGACGCAAAACACGGGGUAGGAGAACGUCCUGGAAGAUCAGGUCAUCACUUGGUGGAAACUAACCUAGAUGAGGUGGGGAGGGCCUCUUGGACCCUCGCUGGGGCCCCGGCUGGGGAGUCCGAAGCCAGAGACCCAGCGCCCAUGGACGAUAUGGCGGACUGUUGGAGACGGAUCUAGAUGAGCUAGAGAGCACUGAUUUUGCAACUCAUUUUGAGACACUCGCCGUUGAAGGCAAACAGUCCAGGAGACUCCAGGAAGUCCUGGAGACGGACAUCGACGCAGUGGAGAGCGCAGAACCUUCUGAAGGAGGUGCCGCAGGAAGUGAUCCUCCAGGUGGGGUCCUUGGACUUCUGGAAACGCACAUAGAUGACCCGGAUCUGGCUGUGUACACGGGGGGCGGCGGGGUGACCCUCACCCAUAGGCUGACUGGCCCCAUCGCCGUGGCGAGCCUGGAUGAGGUGUUUGAGACCUCGCUGGACGGCUCGUCGCCGGACAGCGAGCUGGGCGACGUGGACGCCAUCUGUCUGGAGCUGGGCUCUGACGGCCUGGUCUACUGGGCCGAGCCCGUCCGGGUGGCCUCCACCUCCCCGGCUCUGGGCCAAUCAGACCGCGGCACCCCCUCCUCCCCCGCUGGCCCAGUUGCUUUAGACUCCUCCUCCUUCUACACCCCGGACCGGUUGAAAACGCUUCCAAGCGGGGAUGCGGACGCUCCCGUCGGCGUGGAAACGGCCUCCCCUCCCCCCGCCUCGCCCCCCCCGGCCCCUCGGAGGAGGUGCGGCUCGGUGUCGGUCCAGAUGCCCUCGUGUCCGUCCAGCCGCAGCGUGUCCCACAUCGUCCGGAGGAAGGACGUCCCGUACGCGCCGGCGGCGGCGCCCCCCCGGCCCUCCCUCAUGUCGGCCUCCCUCCCCUGCCUGGACACCUCCACCCCCCUGCGGGCGGUGCAGUCCUGGACCGACCUGCAGCUCCGACGCAGGGGGCUGAACGGCACGGCCUGGGGCGGCCUCCUGGUCUCCCAGAGCCAGGGCUCCCUGAGGGUCGAGGCCUCGGCGACGGCCCUCAGACCCGCCACGGCCUCCUCCUCCGACCCCGCCCUCAGGACGGCGUCCGCCAGCCGCUGGUCCACGGACAGCCUGCCGGGGUCGCCCUCCAGCCUGCGCUCCACCUCGGUGUCGCUGGACACCGGGCUGUGGGCGGAGGACGAGGACGAGGACAGCCGAGAGGGGCGGGGCCGGCUGGAGGAGCACCUGUGGGAGGGGUCGGAGGAGGGCCAUCAGGCGUGCUGCUGCUCCUGCGAGCGCCAUCACACCUGCGGGGCGACGCGCCUCCGCAGAGCGCACAGCACACAGAGCGUCCCGUAUUCCCAGGACGAGCUGGAGAGCAUGAUCUUCUCCCUGAGGAGGUUCCGGGUGGUGCUCGCGGACAUCGAGGAGCAGGUGUCUGACGACCAGGCCUCCGUCUUCACCGCCCUGUCAGCCCCCGUCAGGGAGGAGGUGUGUGACAUCACAGAGCUGAGGAGGAAGGUGAAGCAGGAGGCCGGGGAGCUGGAGCUGCAGCUGAAGGAGCUAACGCACCACUACGACGACAACUUCCAGAUGAAGAUGCAGCGACUCCUGAACGAGCAGACGCUCCUCUGCUCCCAGCUCAGACUCCUCCCCCCCCCUGGGAUCACGCUCCCCGUGGGAGGGGCCACCACGCCCGUCCGGAGCGUCUCCACGCAGUGCAGCCUGUCCCCGGCCCCUAAACAGCAGGGCAACCCCCUGCCCAGCCCCGGGGGUCCGGCCCUUGACAGUCCUAUGCUGGACUGCACCACGACCAAACCGGACAAGCUGGACUUCGUGGGCUUCCUGCAGAGACUAAAAGAUUCCUUGCGUCCAUCUGUGAAUGCAGAGUCCUUGGAAUGAGAGUGUGACUUCUUCCUCCACGGCCGUCUCGUCUGUUUGAUACGCAGAGGAAACUACAGAAUGGAUGAACGUUUGAUACGAAGAAGAAACGACAGAACGAAUGGACGUUUGAUAUGAAGAGGAAACUAGAGAAGGGAUUGACGUUUGAUAUGAAGAGGAAACAACAGAAGUCAUCAUUAUUAGCGUUUUGGGUGUCAUGUGGAGCCGGUCCCGGAAGGUUGCUAGUUCGAUCCCCGGCUCCUCUUAGCUGAGUGUCGAGGUGUCCCUGAGUAAGACAUCUAACCCUGAAUGCUCCCGACGAGCUGUCUGCAAGGUUGACACACCGCUGGUGUUUGAAUGUGUGGAUGAAUAUGUGGAUAGGUGUUUGAAUGGGUGAAUGUAAGGUGAUAUUGGAAAGCACUCUGAGUGGCCACUGGUUAGAACAGUGCUGUAUAAGUGCAGUCCAUUUGCCAUUCAUCAUUAUUAUAAUGUAUAUAGAAAUAAAAAUAAUAUAUAUUGUUGGCAGCUCCAAACAUUAUGCAAAUAUAAAGCAAUGUAAAUUGUUGAGUGAAACAAAAUGGUGACCUAGUCCAUGCUUUUUAAAAACAUAACAUUGUAUGUAUUUUUUAUAGUAAUAUAUUCCAAAUGACAUUUCACAUAAUAUUUUCAUAAUCUUUAUAACAUGUGAUUUAUAUGAUUUUGAAUGUUUAAGAUUUGCCUCAAUCUUAAGACUCGACUCCAUUUAAGACUUUUCUAAAGGCAGAAAUAGAAAUAAAUGAAUGCAAUGAAAUGAAUUAGGGAAGUGUGAUUUAUUUGAGUAU
ensembl:lncRNA